CUACGGGGGGCUGCAGUAGGGAAUUUUGGUCAAUGGAGGAAACUCUGAACCAGCGAUACCGUGUGUAGGAAGACGCCCUGCGGGGUGUAAACUACUGUCACAGGGGAAUAACAAAAUGAAGGUACCCUGAGAGGAAGCACCGGCUAACUCCGUGCCAGCAGCCGCGGUAAUACGGAGGGUGCAAGCGUUGCGCGGAAUUACUGGGCGUUAAGGGUCCGUAGGCUGUUUGUUAAGUCAGUCUUUUAAUACCGCAGCUCAACUGCGGGAAAGGGAUUGAUACUGGCAGACUAGAGCGCGAGAGGGGAAAGUGGAAUUCCAGGAGUAGCGGUGAAAUGUGUAGAUACCUGGAGGAACGCCAAAGGUGAAGACAACUUUCUGGCUCGUAGCUGACGCUGAGGGACGAAAGCGUGGGGAGCGAAUAGGAUUAGAUACCCUCGUAGUC
rnacentral:rRNA from 1 species